UGUUUUUUUUUUUUUUUUUUUUUUUUUUUUUCGU
rnacentral:ribozyme from 1 species